AGCAGCCAGGAGAUCUGCUCAGCUCCCGGUGCUCUCCCUGCCCCCACUCUCUACCUGAGCCAGACGUCUGUGAAGCCGGGGGAAUCCGUGCAGCUCCAGUGCUCUGUGAUCUCCCAGCUCCUAGCCACCCGCAUCGUCUUCUGUCAGGACGGGGAGGAGGUUUCAUCCCAGAGGGGCUUAUUGGGGAAACUCACUUACAACUCUGACCAUGCAAUAUCUGGGGGCAGUUCCGGGAAUUACUCCUGCGGGUACGAGAUCAAGGACAAUGACAACCAGGUGAUCAGGUCCCAGCUCAGCCCUCCACAGCACCUCAUCAUCACCGGUGCUCUCCCUGCCCCCACCCUCUACCUGAGCCAGACGUCCGCCCGGCCGGGGGACUCUGUGCGACUCCAGUGCUCUGUGUUUUCCUG